rnacentral:rRNA from 1 species
GAUGAACGCUGGCGGCGUGCCUAAUACAUGCAAGUCGAGCGAACAGACGAGGAGCUUGCUCCUCUGACGUUAGCGGCGGACGGUGGAGUAACACGUGGAUAACCUACCUAUAAGACUGGGAUAACUUCGGGAAACCGGAGCUAAUACCGGGUAAUAUAUUGAACCGCCUGGUUCAAUAGUGAAAGACGGUUUUGCUGUCACUUAUAGAUGGAUCCGCGCCGCAUUAGCUAGUUGGUAAGGUAACGGCUGACCAAGGCAACGAUGCGUAGCCGACCUGAGAGCGUGAUCGGCCACACUAGAGCUGAGACACGGUCCAGAGUGCUACGGGAGGCAGCAGUAGGGAAUCUUCCGCAAUGGGCGAAAGCCUGACGGAGCAACGCCGCGUGAGUGAUGAAGGUCUUCGGAUCGUAAAACUCUGUUAUUAGGGAAGAACAAAUGUGUAAGUAACUAUGCACGUCUUGACGGUAACUAAUCAGAAAGCCACGGCUAACUACGUG